rnacentral:rRNA from 1 species
AUUGAACGCUGGCGGCAGGCCUAACACAUGCAAGUCGAACGGUAACAGGAAACAGCUUGCUGUUUCGCUGACGAGUGGCGGACGGGCGAGUAAUGUCUGGGAAACUGCCUGAUGGAGGGGGAUAACUACUGGAAACGGUAGCUAAUACCGCAUAACGUCGCAAGACCAAAGAGGGGGACCUUCGGGCCUCUUGCCAUCAGAUGUGCCCAGAUGGGAUUAGCUAGUAGGUGGGGUAACGGCUCACCUAGGCGACGAUCCCUAGCUGGUCUGAGAGGAUGACCAGCCACACUGGAACUGAGACACGGUCCAGACUCCUACGGGAGGCAGCAGUGGGGAAUAUUGCACAAUGGGCGCAAGCCGGAUGCAGCCAUGCCGCGUGUAUGAAGAAGGCCUUCGGGUUGUAAAGUACUUUCAGCGGGGAGGAAGGGAGUAAAGUUAAUACCUUUGCUCAUUGACGUUACCCGCAGAAGAAGCACCGGCUAACUCCGUG